rnacentral:rRNA from 1 species
UACGUAGGGUGCAAGCGUUUGUCCGGAAUUAUUGGGCGUAAAGAGCUCGUAGGCGGUCUGUCGCGUCGGCUGUGAAAUCCCGAGGCUCAACCUCGGGUCUGCAGUCGAUACGGGCAAACUAGAGUAUUGCAGGGGGAGACUGGAAUUCCUGGUGUAGCGGUGAAAUGCGCAGAUAUCAGGAGGAACACCGGUGGCGAAGGCGGGGUCUCUGGGCAAUAACUGACGCUGAGGAGCGAAAGCGUGGGGAGCGAACAGG